UACAGAGGUCCCGAGCGUUGUUCGGAUUCACUGGGCGUAAAGGGUGCGUAGGUGGUGGGGCAAGUCUGAUGUGAAAGCCCCGGGCCCAACCCGGGAAUGGCAUCGGAAACUGCCCGGCUAGGAGGGUUGGAGGGGGGACUGGAAUUCCCGGUGUAGCAGUGAAAUGCGUAGAUAUCGGGAGGAACGCCAGUGGCGAAGGCGAGUCCCUGGACAACACCUGACACUGAGGCACGAAAGCUUGGGGAGCAAACAGG
rnacentral:rRNA from 1 species